GACCGUUGAUUGGUUGAAAUCUCAAAGUACUGUCACCAAUGACUUAGAACCCAGUCUACUAGAUCUCUGACUCCGCCUAAAUUGUAUAGUAACGUGUGAGGCAAGCCGCCAUCUUGAAACGUGGCAAAACUGACGAUAUUUACGACAAAUAUCUGCUUUUGCUGUGUUGAUAUUGAGUCGCAAAGUGGAUAAUCUAGUUUUGCUUCUUGCCACCUUUCAAAAUGUCGUCCUUGCCUCAUCUUGUCACGGUAGUUAGACAUCUGGAAGAUUGGGUUCUAAAUCAUUGACGAUCACGUGGUAAUCGUUAUUAAGUGAAAUCUUAAUCUGACCAAGUGGAAGAUCUAUCCUAUACCUUUCACAGAAGCACAGCAAAGAUCAAACAUGUCCAUCCAUUCAGAUUUUUCUUCCUCGCUUUCAGCAUAAAUGAAGAAGUUUCGAAGUUUAUCAUGAACGACGCCAAAUGAAUGGUCUGGAAAUUUCUCGGUAACAUCUGCUUCAGCAAAUGUAUCUGCACACGAAAGAAGGAAAUAAAAAAAACGUAUAUUCAAUAAUGAUGAUGAAAGAGAUAUGUGGCGUAGCCAGUUUAGAUUGAAAUCUUUAAAGUCGUCGUACUAUAUCGAUUAGUUGUUCUUUGACCAACUAGAAUACAAGCAACAAAAAUAUACUUUCUAUAUUCGAGUAAUUAAGACGAUACAAUCUGCAAAUACGUCGAUGAUUGAGUGUGAUGGUAUUGACCUAACAUUUUCGCCAAUGAUUUCCGCUUUCGACUUAUUUCAUCUUCGAUGUUGGGGACAGUUCUGUAGCCACAUGGAUUGAUAGUUCUUUUGGGUUUUAGUCCCUUGUCAUAGGUCUGAAAUAGCAUGUUAAAAAACGUGGUUGGCUAAAAUGGAUAGUGUAAAAAUCAGCUCGCCAGAAACAGUUGAAAAUCGACGAUUUUUUUUCAAAGAGUUGGUUCAUUAAACUACUUCUGCCACAA